CUACGGGUUGCUGCAGUGGGGAAUAUUGCACAAUGGGGGAAACCCUGAUGCAGCGACGCCGCGUGCGGGAAGAAGGCCUUAGGGUUGUAAACCGCUUUCAAUUGUGAAGAAGGGAUGAGAGUUAAUAGCUUUCUGACUUGACGGUAGCAUUAGAAGAAGCACCGGCUAAUUUCGUGCCAGCAGCCGCGGUAAUACGAAAGGUGCAAGCGUUGUUCGGAUUUACUGGGCGUAAAGAGAUCGUAGGUGGUUUGUUAAGUCGGAUGUGAAAUCCCGGGGCUCAACCUCGGAACUGCAUCCGAUACUGGCAGGCUAGAGUUCGGGAGGGGAAUGCGGAAUUCCGUGUGUAGCAGUGAAAUGCGCAGAUAUACGGAGGAACACCUGAGGCGAAGGCGGCAUUCUGGACCGAUACUGACACUGAGGAUCGAAAGCGUGGGUAGCAAACAGGAUUAGAUACCCCUGUAGUC
rnacentral:rRNA from 1 species